GGAAUUGACGGGACCCGCACAAGCGGUGGAUGAUGUGGAUUAAUUCGAUGCAACGCGAAAACCUUACCUACCCUUGACAUGUCCGGAAUCCCGAAGAGAUUUGGGAGUGCUCGCAAGAGAACCGGAACACAGGUGCUGCAUGGCUGUCGUCAGCUCGUGUCGUGAGAUGUUGGGUUAAGUCCCGCAACGAGCGCAACCCUUGUCAUUAGUUGCCAUCAUUUGGUUGGGCACUCUAAUGAGACUGCCGGUGACAAACCGGAGGAAGGUGGGGAUGACGUCAAGUCCUCAUGGCCCUUAUGGGUAGGGCUUCACACGUCAUACAAUGGUCGGUACAGAGGGUUGCCAACCCGCGAGGGGGAGCUAAUCCCACAAAGCCGAUCGUAGUCCGGAUCGCAGUCUGCAACUCGACUGCGUGAAGUCGGAAUCGCUAGUAAUCGUGGAUCAGCAUGUCACGGUGAAUACGUUCCCGGGUCUU
rnacentral:rRNA from 1 species